GUGAACUAAGAGCAUUUGGUGAAUGCCUAGGCGUAUAGAGGCGAUGAAGGACGUGACAGGCUGCGAAAAGCUGUGGUGAGGCGCCAGUAACCUUUGACCCACAGAUAUCCGAAUGGGGAAACCCACCACUUUUGUGGUAUCGUAUGGUGAAUACAUAGCCAUGCGAAGCGAACCCGGCGAACUGAAACAUCUAAGUAGCCGGAGGAAAGGACAUCAACAGAGACUCCCCUAGUAGCGGCGAGCGAACGGGGACCAGGCCAGUGCCAUUAUCGAAUUUACCGGAACCAUCUGGGAAGAUGGGCCAAAGUGGGUGAUAGCCCCGUACGGGAAGGAAGAGAUAGUGGACAUGAGUAGGGCGGGACACGUGAAAUCCUGUCUGAACAUGGGGGGACCA
rnacentral:rRNA from 11 species